rnacentral:ncRNA from 1 species
AAUGGCAUUUACAGAGGGAAGCGAGACAGUGAUGUGGAGCGGACCCCUUAAAGAAUGUCGUAGUCCGGAUUGGAGUCUGCAACUCGACUCCAUGAAG